rnacentral:rRNA from 1 species
GACGAACGCUGGCGGCGUGCCUAAUACAUGCAAGUUGAGCGAUGAAGAUUGGUGCUUGCACCAAUUUGAAGAGCAGCGAACGGGUGAGUAACGCGUGGGGAAUCUGCCUUUGAGCGGGGGACAACAUUUGGAAACGAAUGCUAAUACCGCAUAACAACUUUAAACAUAAGUUUUAAGUUUGAAAGAUGCAAUUGCAUCACUCAAAGAUGAUCCCGCGUUGUAUUAGCUAGUUGGUGAGGUAAAGGCUCACCAAGGCGAUGAUACAUAGCCGACCUGAGAGGGUGAACGGCCACAUUGGGACUGAGACACGGCCCAAACUCCUACGGGAGGCAGCAGUAGGGAAUCUUCGGCAAUAGACGAAAGUCUGACCGAGCAACGCCGCGUGAGUGAAGAAGGUUUUCGGAUCGUAAAACUCUGUUGGUAGAGAAGAACGUUGGUGAGAGUGGAAAGCUCAUCAAGUGACGGUAACUACCCAGAAAGGGACGGCUAACUACGUG